CAAGAAGAUUUUUUUUGAAAAAAAUAUAUAAACCACUUAUUCAUUGUCAAUCAAAUACAAACAACGAUUUUUUUUUUUCAAUUUUAAUGUCUUGUUUGUAGUAGUUGUCAAGAAUUUAUUGCUUCUUUUGUCACCAGGAAUUGGUGUGAUUAUGCAAGUUUUGUAAGUGCCAGAGACACA